CCCUUAGACGUUCUGGGCCGCACGCGCGCUACACUGACCAGUGCAACAAGCAUCCGUCCUUGGCCGACAGGCUCGGGCAAUCUUUGAACGCUGGUCGUGAUGGGGAUAGACUUUUGCAAUUUUUGGUCUUCAACGAGGAUUCCUAGUAAACGCAAGUCAUCAACUUGCAUUGAUUACGUCCCUGCCCUUUGUACACACCGCCCGUCGCACCUACCGAUUGAAUGGUCCGGUGAAGCCUCCGGAUUGGCGCGCACCUCGGUGCCGCCGAGAAGUUGGCUAAACCUUACCAUUUAGAGGAAGGUGAAGUCGUAACA
rnacentral:rRNA from 1 species